CAGAAUGCCACGGUGAAUACGUUCCCGGGCCUUGUACACACCGCCCGUCACACCAUGGGAGUGGGUUGCAAAAGAAGUAGGUAGCUUAACCUUCGGGAGGGCGCUUACCACUUUGUGAUUCAUGACUGGGGUGAAGUCGUAACAAGGUAACCGUAGGGGAACCUGCGGUUGGAUCACCUCCUUACCUUAAAGAA
rnacentral:rRNA from 2 species